rnacentral:misc_RNA from 1 species
AGAGUGUAGUAAGUUGCUGUUAGUUUACAAAUAUUAGGGAUUUUCUUUCUUUUUAAAACAACAGUAAAAAAUUGCACAACUUAAAAGUGCUUUCUCUCGUCAUGCAAAAUUCUGCAGCAUAAGCAUAAAAUAAAUAAUAGGACUGUCAACAGCGCUGAAGCAGCCAACGAAAUAGGCGAAACUGGUUUCCAUUGUUGAAAGCUGAUAUAAUUGGUAUAGGACGCACAAGGGGACAAUUUAUGUUCAUUUUGUGUGUUCUGUUUUGUUUCAAAUAAGCCAGAUGAAAUGCAGGUAAAAUUCUGAUUUCUGAGAGGCACCACCAGUAUGCAAAUUGUGCCUUUAAAAAUCAGAGAUUCAAAAUUGCUAACCCAGAAGAAACAUGGGAGAUUAGGUCAAGCUCCCAAUCAUUCGAGUCAGUACCAGGAACUACUGAACUCUGCAGGCCUAUAGGAGUUUUGCUUUCUGAACUUUGUUAAUGAGCCAUGGAAAUCAAGGCUAAUAUAUGCCCUGAUGAAUCGGCAAGCUUGGCCUUAUUUGGGACCCGUUGGCCUAGCAACUAAAUUGUGAAGAAUUCCAAACGUUAACUUUCUUCAUUUUGACACAACUGUUUGAUCGUUAGGCUACUAGCAACUUGAGGACCUUCACUUUUUUAUCACUGCUAAGGACUAAGGAGGUGUUUGGUAUGAGGUUGAAGAAGGUUAAAUGUUAACUUGGAGAGCCUAGGUUAAUAAUUACUCUCCUUAAAGGUUAAAACUUACAAGAAUAACAUUUAACCCUUGAUUUUU